rnacentral:lncRNA from 1 species
UUCUCAUAUUCUGAUUCCGUUGUAGGAGAGAUGACUAUGUUAUACUUAUCAGAGCACAAGAGCCUAGAGACAUAAAACAAUUAGUCUAUUUCAGGGUUAGACCUUUGUAGAAUCAAACCACCCAAAUCAAUCCAGAAUAAACUGGUAAUCGAUGUCCAGCCAUUGUUACGUGUUACCAAGCCAAUUCAGGUCUACACACGUUAUGGUCACGGAUCCAAGGCUAAACGGCCCAGUCAACCACGGAUUGAGCUGUUGAAUUAGUCAUAUUUAAUUUAUUAAUUUCUGUUUCAGUUAUUUCCCAUAUUUCCUGCUUUGUAGGAGGUUGAUCCUCCAUUUCCCUUUUCAUGCUUAGUUGGGGAGAGUAUUUCUCCACUUAGAAGUAGUUACCUUUGAUGUAGGAAGUAGCAGUUACACUUCCUGUAUUUAAACGAAUAAUCAUCAAUGAAUGGAUACGUCCAAAAUCAAACAAAGUCUUGAGUACUUUAACUCAGAGGUAAGGCUCCCUCUUUGAACCAAGUCUGUUAAUGACCCGUGGUCAAAAGAAGAAAAAAACCGCAUCUGAUUCCCAAACACCCAGCCUAAACACUCCAAAUCCUAACUUUCCCUCAACCCACAGACCCAUAACACGAUCUUACAAUAGGGACCCUAACAUUACGCGGCUGCAGGGAAUCUUCACCGACAUCCAGCUUCUUCAUUUUCUCUGAAACAAGCCAAUCCAUCAUAUGUAGUCUACUUUUAUUCUGUAGCAAAACUUGCACGAGUUAGCAAAAACUCAAAUGGCACCUAGAUAUCUAGGGUUCAGAAAAAACAAGAAGCACUGGGUCUAGGAGGGUGACGUUGCAGAGCUCACUGGCCUUUCAAGAAAUGGCUGAGGAUACCUUGGAGUUGCUGAUGUUGGACAUGCAUAAAUCCCUUCCUUUGAUCAACGCAGACGCUAAAUUCAUGGAGCCAAUAACACAACAUCAUCUAGAUUAGAGUCCUUCGACAGAUCUCCCAAAAACUCUCUCAUCAUGAAGAGCAGGAUUUGAUAACCAAAACAAUCAUAAAAAGAAACUACAGGCUAGCUAUCUGGUGUGGAGAGUGAAACCUAUAAUUAGACAAAUAGAGAUUGAAACCUCCCCCUGCUUAGACAAUUAGAGAGGAUGAAUUCUGUCUCUCUUGAAUUCAUAUAAUAUUCUUGUUUUUCGAAAUAAAAAUUAUUGAAGAAUAAGAGAAAACAUAGUCAAAUCUAUCUUGAUGACUUUAGGUGUGCAAAUUAUUGAAUAAACUCGGAAAACCAACUCAAUCUUGUCCCCUAGUAUUUCGAAAGCAACAUAUAAU